rnacentral:lncRNA from 1 species
AGGGGGGGCGGGGCGGCCUCGCCACACGUAGCACGUCAUCCCUAUCUUCCUGCCAAUCCUAGGCCUCGAAUCCCGCCGCGGCGCUCAGCUGGCCAAGAGGGCAGUGACUUCCGGGGCGCCCGAGGACGGGUCUUCCCGCCCCCCACGUUCUGGCGUUCGACGGGCGGGGCCGGAGCGAUGACGAGAUGGAGCCUCAGGACAGGGCAGUGGACCUUGUCGCAGUAUUUUACUUUCUACGCCUUCCCAUUCUCCAAACGCGGCUGCCUUAGCUUUUCUUUCAGAGGCCCAAGCCACUAUGUUGGUCCAUUUUUCCCUCUGAACCUGUUGCCUCCCUCCCCCAAUUUUUUUAAGCCGCAUUAGAUGUUUUGUUUUGGGUGUUUGUUUCUGACGCAGGGUUCUGCUUUGUAACCCAGGCUGUCCUCGAACUUGUAGAUUCGCGUGCCUCAGUUUCCCAUGUACUGGUUCUACAAGAAACACCACACCCAGCCCUGCCACCUUCAUGCUUCAACCAAAC